CCCUGAGCAAGACCCUUAGCCCCAUAUGGCUCUCCAGGCACAGUAGGCUGUCAACUGCUUCACAAGGAUGGAAUGGAAUUGACACAGAAGGGGGCAGCAUUGAAAAAGGCAGCAGAUUGUGAGGGCGAAAUACCAGAGCAGGAGAGAAGGCUUAGUGUCACCUGCUGUGUCACAAGCAGUUCCCCAUAGAGGAGGCUCUUCUGCGUCACCAGUGGCUCUCUGACCUCCACAAGAGAACCAGUGAACCUCAGUUCGUCUCUGAUCUUCAUGGAAAAGGUCUUACCUGUGUGCAGCCGUUCUCCGUCUUCAUCACCUGCCUGCCCGUUCUCGGAAACAUCUCUUGCAAGUACCAACGCUCUUGGAUCUCACUCACUUUCUCAUGGACCUUUGCGGUACAGUCUGCGAAGCCUGCUGAAUCAAACCCCUACAGAUCUAUGCUACCUCCCCUUCAUCUCUCUAGUAGGGAAAUCAAUCAAUCAUUAGUUGUCAUCAACCAACUCCUUCCUUAUCAGUCUGCUUUCUCCCCUCAGAUCAAUAAGAAAGUUCAACAGAUUUCCUGCAGUUCUGUUUCCAGAUUCUUUUUGCUGUUGAAAAACAAAGAAAAAAAAACUUUAAAUAGAGUUGUUCUUCUAAACGUGUGAUUCUGCAUGUGGACAAAAAACAAAGUACAAACCAAAUUGACAUAAAAUUGUUUUUUUUUUUACUAUUUUGAGUUCAUUUUAUUUUAUUAUUAUUUUAUUUUAUCCUUGAAAUCAAAAAGUUUCCCUCUUCCAAUGGCUGAAAGGACAAAAUAUGCAUAUUUUUAAGUAGUAUAUUUGCAGUAAUCUUAGAACUGGUGUGAAAUGAUCAAUUUUUUUGGUGUUGGUUUGGACUCUGGCAGCAUCAUUAAUUACUUCUGUUUACUCUGCAGGUAUGUAGACUAAAAUGAAACCAUGGAUAAUUUUUCUGCAUCUUUUUGAAACCCUUCAGUUUGCCAUUUUUCUAGAUAUUAAAGUGAUUUAGUAAAUGUACUGCUAAAUAAUGAAUGCAUGGGUUAGCAAUUUCUUUUUACGUGUUAUGGUCCAUAUUUUACUUGUAUUAGACUAACUUGAAAUGUACUAAUGGAUUUUACCAUGUUAUUUAACAAAUACACGCUAAAUGAUACCUGAAGCUGCAGCACAGUUUAAAUUAUGGCCAAAAUCUACCCUUCAUAAGUGUAAAUUAUAGUUCCACUUAACCUCAAGGACAAAUAACAAACUUCCUCUGCCCCUCUGAGAAGAUUCACUGAAACCAGUUUUCAGGUAAUUACAUAACCACAUCAUUUCCAUGGUGCUGCUAUUUAUUGCUCAUCCAUGGAUGGACCAUAUCGCAGUGAUAAUCACUUGGUGACUGCCAUCCACUCCCUGUAUGAUGAAUGCCAGCAGAUUGACCUUAAUUGACUGAGCGCAUUGUCAUCCAGCAGCAUUCAACAAA